GGGGCUGACUUGGAUUUCGACAGAUUUCUUGUCGCACAGACAGCAUGCCAAGCGCUACUUGUAAAACAGCAACAAAAAUAACUGUAAACAACACAGAUUACGCUCCAGCUUACGCUAAAGCUGCGUGAGUUAAUCUCCUUUUGGAGCUGGACUGAUUAGAAUUUCUAGCGUUUUAAUCACUCCAUAACCUUAAGCUAGACGCUUUUAAGAGGUGGUUCGCCUUUUAAACUAAGAAACAAGAACUCUUGAAACUAUCUCAAGGUUUUAGAAAGUUGGACCAGAGCUAGUUUUAAGGCUAAAAAACUAACCAAUUUUCUAAGCAUUGUAGAAGUUUGUGUUUAGGGCAAGAUUUUUGGACUGGGGUUCGAUUCCCCACAGCUCCACCA
rnacentral:tmRNA from 1 species